rnacentral:snRNA from 1 species
GGAUGUGAAGGCGAUCUGGCUGCGACAUUGAUCACCAGGGUUGAUUUGGCUUAUCUGGAUGGCUAGGUGGAUGUUCCAUUCCACCCUCACAGCUCCAUGUGUGCUGGGUGAAGGACGACUUUCCCUGAUAGAGAAGGAUGGUUUUUAGGUCAAGGGUAGCUGUGCUUCCCUGCUAGAACCUCCAGACAAGAUCUCAAGGUCCAAAUAGUCUUUUGGAGGGAGUUUAACCUCAAACAUGCAGUGGCAAUUCGAGGUCUCUCU